UACUGUGCAAAUAUAAUUUCUGCCAAAAAAGAUCGUUCUGUGUGUGGACUUCGAAGCUGCAGAUUUAAGAGGAAGGAGAAGUUGGAGAAGAGCACAGGCCGCAUGCUGGCUAGAGGCCGCCCCGCGUGCUGACUGUCGGAGUUCUAGCACCUUGAGUCCGUAACUGUCCUUUGUCCUGGACUGUCUUCCAAAGAUAUGCAUAUAAAGAACAGCCUUGGAAGACAGGAGACGGUGUCAUGUCUGGUGCGAAGGACUGGGGUUCUGAGCUCCCUGUGCCCAGGCUUCCUGUGCUGCGACACUACCCACCCCCCGCCCGUGUGCAGCAUCCAUCUGACCCAUCGGAGCCACCUUAUGGGAAUGGGUGCUUUUGAGGCAUCUGCAGGGAGGCUGAUAAUGUGGCUCCUGCCUGAGAAUAAAAUAUCCUUUAUCUCUGAA